rnacentral:lncRNA from 1 species
CCUUAAUUGGGGGAACUGCUGUGUUUGUUUCCCUCCUCCCCUGCAACAUUGAUCCCCAGCAGUGCGAGGAUUAGCAAGUGGCCAAAUGCAUCGGGAGGUGACCUUGCUCUGCCGUAAGCACUGGGCUGCCACGGGGAAGCAGGCAGCAUCCCCAUGGACCAGACAGUUUUACAACGUCAGAAGAAUGGAAGAGCUGCAAGGCAUGCACGCUCAAGAUGCUGUGCUCCUGGAAAGCUUUGGAUAGGCUCCAGGCAACAUUUGGUGGCAAAGAAAGAUGAAGGUCUCGAGGGGAAAAAAAAAAUCAAGUCUUCAUCCUACAACCUUCCUGUUCCUGCGAGCUGGGAAUGUUGUCGAAGGACAGGAAAUGUGUGUUCUUGCAGUCGUGUCUUGCUGUGGGAGAUGGACACUUUUUAAAAUGCGAGGGAAGAGUGGCUUUGCUGCGAGUGCACAUUUGUGGCUGCUGGUGCCGAGAUGAUGGAAGCAUUGAUCCAGCCUGCUGCGUGACCCCGUUCAGCACGGCGGUGUGCUGUAUUGGCAGCAUUGUUUGUCUCCAGAGCUACUCUAAGCCAGGAUCACAGGACAGAUUGAAUCGGAGGAAAACCUUGUAG